UACGGAGGGGGCUAGCGUUGUUCGGAAUUACUGGGCGUAAAGCGUGUGUAGGCGGCCGCGCAAGUCGGAUGUGAAAGCCCUGGGCUCAACCCAGGAAGUGCACCCGAUACUGCAUGGCUCGAGUACUGGAGAGGUUGGUGGAAUUCUCGGUGUAGAGGUGAAAUUCGUAGAUAUCGAGAGGAACACCGGUGGCGAAGGCGGCCAACUGGACAGAUACUGACGCUGAGACACGAAAGCGUGGGGAGCAAACAGG
rnacentral:rRNA from 1 species